rnacentral:rRNA from 1 species
ACGGAGGGUGCAAGCGUUAUCCGGAUUCACUGGGUUUAAAGGGUGCGUAGGUGGGCAGGUAAGUCAGUGGUGAAAUCUUCGAGCUUAACUCGGAAACUGCCAUUGAUACUAUUUGCCUUGAAUGCCCUGGAGGUAAGCGGAAUAUGUCAUGUAGCGGUGAAAUGCUUAGAUAUGACAUAGAACACCAAUUGCGAAGGCAGCUUACUACGGGGUGAUUGACACUGAGGCACGAAAGCGUGGGGAUCAAACAG